rnacentral:rRNA from 1 species
GAUGAACGCUGGCGGCGUGCCUAAUACAUGCAAGUCGAGCGAACAGACGAGGAGCUUGCUCCUCUGACGUUAGCGUCGGACGGGUGAGUAACACGUGGAUAACCUACCUAUAAAACUGGGAUAACUUCGGGAAACCGGAGCUAAUACCGGAUAAUAUAUUGAACCGCAUGGUUCAAUAGUGAAAGACGGUUUUGCUGUCACUUAUAGAUGGAUCCGCGCCGCAUUAGCUAGUUGGUAAGGUAACGGCUUACCAAGGCGACGAUGCGUAGCCGACCUGAGAGGGUGAUCGGCCACACUGGAACUGAGACACGGUCCAGACUCCUACGGGAGGCAGCAGUAGGGAAUCUUCCGCAAUGGGCGAAAGCCUGACGGAGCAACGCCGCGUGAGUGAUGAAGGUCUUCGGAUCGUAAAACUCUGUUAUUAGGGAAGAACAAAUGUGUAAGUAACUAUGCACGUCUUGACGGUACCUAAUCAGAAAGCCACGGCUAACUACGUG